CACAUGCAAGUCGAACGAGAAUCUGUGGAACGAGGAUUCGUCCAAGAGAAGCAGAGGACAGUGGCGGACGGGUGAGUAACGCGUGAGGAACCUGCCUUUCAGAGGGGGACAACAGUUGGAAACGACUGCUAAUACCGCAUGACACAUAGGGGUCGCAUGGCACCUAUGUCAAAGAUUUAUCGCUGAAAGAUGGCCUCGCGUCCGAUUAGCUAGUUGGUGAGGUAACGGCCCACCAAGGCGACGAUCAGUAGCCGGACUGAGAGGUUGAACGGCCACAUUGGGACUGAGAUACGGCCCAGACUCCUACGGGAGGCAGCAGUGGGGAAUAUUGGGCAAUGGGCGCAAGCCUGACCCAGCAACGCCGCGUGAAGGAAGAAGGCUUUCGGGUUGUAAACUUCUUUUGUCAGGGACGAGUAGAAGACGGUACCUGACGAAUAAGCCACGGCUAACUACGAGCCAGCAGCCGCGGUAAUACGUAGGUGGCAAGCGUUGUCCGGAUCUACUGGGUGUAAAGGGCGUGUAGCCGGGAGGGAAAGUCAGAUGUGAAAUCCACGGGCUCAACUCGUGAACUGCAUUUGAAACUACUCUUCUUGAGUAUCGGAGAGGCAAUCGGAAUUCCUAGUGUAGCGGUGAAAUGCGUAGAUAUUAGGAGGAACACCAGUGGUGAAGGCGGAUUGCUGGACGACAACUGACGGUGAGGCGCGAAAGCGUGGGGAGCAAACAGGAUUAGAUACCCUGGUAGUCCACGCUGUAAACGAUGAAUACUAGGUGUGCGGGGACUGACCCCCUGCGUGCCGCAGCUAA
rnacentral:rRNA from 1 species